rnacentral:rRNA from 1 species
GAUGAACGCUGGCGGCGUGCCUAAUACAUGCAAGUCGAGCGAAGCGGGGACGGGUGAGUAACACGUGGAUAACCUCCUAUAAGACUGGGAUAACUUCGGGAAAACGGAGCUAAACCGGAUAAUUAUAGAUGGAUACGCGUGGCAUUAGCUAGUGGGUAAGUUAACGGCUUACCAAGGCAACGAUGCAGAGCCGACCUGAGAGUGUGACCGGCCACACUGGAACUGAGCCACGGCCCAGACUCCUACGGGAGUCAGCAGUAGGGAAUCUUCCGCAAUGGGCUAAAGCCGGACGGAGCAACGCCGCGUGAGUGAUGAAGGUCUUCGGAUCGUAAAACUCUGUUAUUAGGGAGGCGGUACCUAAUCAGAAAGCCACGGCUAACUCCGUGCCAGCAGCCGCGGUAAUUC